CAACAAUCAAAGACCAUCAGGUGUAAAGAAGUUCCUGAAUUACUCUGAUGGAAUGGGAUUCUCUAAGCCGAUGAAAUAGCAGAACUGGACACAUUUCAAAAUGGCACCAUGCUAGACAAACACAGAAAACUCAUAUUCUAUUGUGUGACUGAUGGGAAAGAGGGAGGAGUACAUUUUCUCCCAAAAUUUGAAGAAUAUACAGAUCUUUUCAAACUAAUUUCAAGAAGAGAGCACAAGUAGAGGGAGAUGAUAUCAUAAGAGAGUAGAGAGGCUUUUGAUUUGGAGAGGAAAGUCAAAUAUAUAUUCUUCUCCUCUGAAAUGACCCCAGAGCAAUAUAUAUUUGAAUGGUAAGCGCAGAUGGGACUUAAGAGAAGUACAAAAGAAAGUUUUAGGAGCACAGGCAGUGAGAAGAUUAUAAAAGGGAAUCCUUCUUUCUGCUUCCCAAACUAUGAAUGCUCUUCUUACUCUUAUUACUUUAACUCAUUUGUGAAACUUGGUAGAGGUAUAUAUAAGACCAGAUUUAUACACAAGUGGAAUAAUGAAUUAUAUCCUUUUUGUUUGAGUAGUAUAAAAAAAUUUUGCACACAGCACACUGAUACUUGAAGUUCUACUAUUUAAGAAUAAUUUAUGUCACUACCAUUUUGGUAUGAAAAAAUAUCUUCUUUAGAUUUUUUUCCCCAACAGAAGAAAUGAGACAGAGAGCACUACAUACCUGGAGUGUGAGAAUAGGUAUUAAAAGGAGGAAAGAGGUUCCAGAAAGGGAGGGCAAGGAAAGUGGAAGACAAACUUCACAAUUAUGCUGAGAAGUCAAGCUGGGACAGAAGACUUUGCUCUAGAACCAUAACACAAGUCCACUUUGUAAAGCCAAACAAUGAUUACAGCCUGAGGCUUCCAGAGGGGUGUUGAUCUGGAUUUGUGAUUUUAUGGUGUAAGGAACUCUCCAAAAGGAUAUUGAAGAUUGGCCCUUGCUCUGUAAUUUAAUGUUUUAGAGAACUGUAUGGAACAGCAAGCCAGUGUGACCUGACAAGCGUCCCAUAACCAGGAUAUUUCACAUGGAAGACUUGAAUCUAAGUCUUUCUGACUUUUAGAAGACUCCCUAUUCACAUUGUGCAGCCUCUGAAGGAAUCUUAGAAGUCACUUAAUCCAAGACUUAGAUUCUGUAUGAAGAAAAGAAGUUUAAGAACAUUAAGUGACUAGUCUACAAUCAUAAAUAUGAUAAGUAGCAUAACCAGGGUAUGAACCAAAGGUCAUCUCCUUUUAACCCUUGGACAUUAAAAAUUGGAAUAUUACUCUUAUUAUAAUUUUAUAAAUAUAAAAAAUGGAGGCACAUGAUGUUAACUGGGGGAGGAGAGCUGGACUGUUUAGUUCCUAAUAUAAUGUUAUUAAUCACUUUUUACUACAUAUUAAUUAUUCUAUAAUAACAUUCCAAAAGGGUUCAUCAUUCUGAUAAUACAUUUGAAUAUCUAUAUGGAAACUGGGUAGAUUAUAAAACCAAAUUAUCUUAUUUAUAUGGAUUUCUUCUCAAUUUAAUUUUUUUUUAUUAUAGAAAAUACACAUACAUGUGUGCAACAUUUAUGGGCAUCAAUUUAUCCUUGAGAAAAUUUUUAUUAAUCUA